UACAUGGGGGGCAAACGUUGCUCGGAAUUCUUGGGCGUAAAGCGCACGUAGGCGGUUUGUUACGUCGGAUGUGAAAUCACUCGGCUCAACUGAGGAAGUGCAUCCGAAACUGGCAUGUCUUGAGUACUAAAGAGGGUCGCGGAAUUCCCGGUGUAGAGGUGAAAUUCGUAGAUAUCGGGAGGAACACCGGUGGCGAAGGCGGCGACCUGGGUAGAUACUGACGCUGAGGUGCGAAAGCGUGGGGAGCAAACAGG
rnacentral:rRNA from 1 species